rnacentral:rRNA from 1 species
AUGAACGCUGGCGGCGUGCCUAAUACAUGCAAGUCGAGCGAACGGACGAGAAGCUUGCUUCUCUGAUGUUAGCGGCGGACGGGUGAGUAACACGUGGAUAACCUACCUAUAAGACUGGGAUAACUUCGGGAAACCGUAGCUAAUACCGGAUAAUAUUUUGAACCGCAUGGUUCAAAAGUGAAAGACGGUCUUGCUGUCACUUAUAGAUGGAUCCGCGCUGCAUUAGCUAGUUGGUAAGGUAACGGCUUACCAAGGCAACGAUGCAUAGCCGACCUGAGAGGGUGAUCGGCCACACUGGAACUGAGACACGGUCCAGACUCCUACGGGAGGCAGCAGUAGGGAAUCUUCCGCAAUGGGCGAAAGCCUGACGGAGCAACGCCGCGUGAGUGAUGAAGGUCUUCGGAUCGUAAAACUCUGUUAUUAGGGAAGAACAUAUGUGUAAGUAACUGUGCACAUCUUGACGGUACCUAAGCAGAAAGCCACGGCUAACUACGU